CAUGCAAGUCGAACGGAAAGGCCCUUUCGGGGGUACUCGAGUGGCGAACGGGUGAGUAACACGUGGGUGAUCUGCCCUGCACUUUGGGAUAAGCCUGGGAAACUGGGUCUAAUACCGGAUAGGACUACGCGAUGCAUGUCGUGUGGUGGAAAGCUUUUGCGGUGUGGGAUGGGCCCGCGGCCUAUCAGCUUGUUGGUGGGGUGAUGGCCUACCAAGGCGACGACGGGUAGCCGGCCUGAGAGGGUGACCGGCCACACUGGGACUGAGAUACGGCCCAGACUCCUACGGGAGGCAGCAGUGGGGAAUAUUGCACAAUGGGCGCAAGCCUGAUGCAGCGACGCCGCGUGAGGGAUGACGGCCUUCGGGUUGUAAACCUCUUUCAGCAGGGACGAAGCGCAAGUGACGGUACCUGUAGAAGAAGGACCGGCCAACUACGUGCCAGCAGCCGCGGUAAUACGUAGGGUCCGAGCGUUGUCCGGAAUUACUGGGCGUAAAGAGCUCGUAGGUGGUUUGUCGCGUUGUUCAUGAAAACUCACA
rnacentral:rRNA from 1 species